rnacentral:lncRNA from 1 species
UUAAUUUUACUAAAAUGGACCAAUGUAUAUACUUAACACAAGAGAUGAGAAAAAUGUUAUUCAAACUUCUUUGAAAACCCGGGAGUAUAUAAUUUACUAAUCAUAAGAGCAACAACAUAAUUUUUUGGUAAAUUACAGGUAUCAUCCGUGCGCAACUGCGAAAACUAAUCCACUCGAGAUAGCAGCAACAUAAUUUUAUUUUUAUUUUAAUUAAAUUUUACUGCUUUGUACAUAAGUAUACAUUCACAAGCCACUAAUUUAUAAGUAUACGUAUACAACCACAAACUCCAAAUCCCUCAGAUUCGGUUACAUGAAAUGGAAAUCCACAGGCUCCAAUUUCACCAUCAAAACACAUAAGAUUUUGACAAUCCCCGUUAGUUCGGCACAUGAGGAACACUAUGAAGAAUUAAGGAACUUUAUCAAAAUGAGGGUGAAAUUUGAAUAAGAAAAUUUAAAGGUAAAAAAUAUUAGAAAUCCUUAUACAUAUAUCAAAGUUAGACAACAAUCAUUUAAAAUUUCAAAUUAUAUUAAUAAAGAUUACGGUUAAACAAGUUUUUAAACCGUAUAAAUAUUCUUAAAAUUUAUUUUAAGUCUAUAUAAACAAUUUCAGCAAGUUGAUUUUGUCUCCUAAUAUAUUUUAUUUCAUAACUUUUAAUUCUUAUUUUUAAAUCAACUCAUGUAUACAGUAUACUUUCAUAUUUUUUAACGAGUUUUAAUUUAUAAUUAUGUUUAUAAUUAUAUAAAAAAUAUCUCCCACAAUAAUUUAGAAUUUUUUAAGUUUGAUGAAUUAAAUAUGAUUUUUUUAUGCGCCAAAAAGUUAGAAAUUCAUAUCUAAUUCAUCCAAUGUGUUGUAAAAAACUAAAUUUUGAAGGGAGAGAUUUUUAUNNNNNNNNNNNNNNNNNNNNNNNNNNNNNNNNNNNNNNNNNNNNNNNNUAAAGUUUUGUCAAAGAGGUUUAUACAAUGUACUAAACAUGAAUGCCGAAAAUAAUAAAUUUUUUAAGUAAUAUAGAUGAGUUGACAAUCCACUAGGUUAGGUAAUAAGCAUGAGGUCCUAAAUUCGAUUAUUGCUUACUCCGUUGUAAACCCAAAACUAUAUAUAGAUGAGUUGACUUAAAAGUAGAGAUGAUAAUGGUACGAAAGAUAUUUGAGAACUAAAACUUGCUGAAAUUUUUUAUUGGAACUAAAACAAAAUUUGACAUAUUUAUAGGGACAAAAAAUUUAUUUAACCCUAUAAAUUAAUAUAAAAAUAUCAUAUGAUAUUAAAUUUUGUAUAAAAAUACCAGUAUAUCAAACUAAAUUUUCAAAGCUAAUUUAAAAACAAUAAUAAAAAUUACUUACAGCUAUUUGCUAUAGAAAUUAAUAUGGAAAAAAAGAUAACCAUAACAUAAGUAAACAUAUAAACUUUAACCAUAUUUUUACUUUUAUGAAUCUAGAUAUAAGAAUCAUUUGCUAGCUUUAUAG